rnacentral:rRNA from 1 species
UCCAGACUCCUACGGGAGGCAGCAGUGGGGGAUAUUGCACAAUGGGGGGAACCCUGAUGCAGCGACGCCGCGUGGGUGAAGGAGCGUUUCGGCGCGUAAAGCCCUCUCGGCAGGGAAGAAGGAGGACGGUACCUGACUAAGAAGCCCCGGCUAACUACGUGCCAGCAGCCGCGGUAAUACGUAGGGGGCAAGCGUUAUCCGGAUUUACUGGGUGUAAAGGGGGCGCAGACGGCAGCGCAAGCCAGGAGUGAAAGCCCGGGGCCCAACCCCGGGACUGCUCUUGGAACUGCGCGGCUGGAGUGCAGGAGGGGCAGGCGGAAUUCCUGGUGUAGCGGUGAAAUGCGUAGAUAUUAGGAGGAACACCAGUGGCGAAGGCGGCCUGCUGGACGAUGACUGACGUUGAGGCUCGAAAGCGUGGGGAGCAAACAGGAUUAGAUACCCGCGUAAA